UCAUUAACAAGAUAACCAUCCGGAUUCAAACUCACAUAAUAUACGUUUAACCAUUACACUUUCCUCUGUCAAUCACUCGAAACUAUCUCAUCCGUAAUCAUUUUUAACCGAUAUAUCAAAUCAAAGAAAUUGCCUACUAACAUUUUU
rnacentral:sRNA from 1 species